CUGAGGAAACUCCUGUUCAGGGAAAAACAAGAAAACCAAUCUAGGAGUGUCUAAUGGCUUCGUUUUAUUGCUCACUUCUUUCUCCUAUACUUAUUUUUAAUAGUUUCUUUGGAAAAUGAAUGUUGAUUAGAUUUAGGGCACCAUGAGAUAUUUUCCAUGGUCCGGAGCAACCACGGGGUUCCAUUUGGGGUACAUUUUCCUUUUGUUCAGCCAGUGGUUACUGCAGACUCCGUUUGUGGCUCCUCCAGGCAGGAGCCGAAGGGUCCCCCAAAGAGUAUUGCCUCCACGUCUGAACACUUCCCUCCUCCGAAGUUCACCACGGGCGUCACGAAGGAUCCAUCCACAGUCACUUUCUGACAGAUCAGCACUGGCUUGAUCCCAGAGGAUGGGAGACCCAGCAAGACGGGGCUGGCAGGGGCCCACCCUGGCUGGCCUGAAGCCCUUGACCGCGUCAACACAAUCCGAAAGACCUGGGCAGCUGAAAGCAGAGCUGAGGAGGUCUACCAGAGGAAUUCCAGCUCCGGUGCCGGCGUUGUGCUGCAGCUUCAACACUGGCACUCCGUACCUGAGAGCUGCUCUGCUUCCCAUCAAGCUUCCUGAUAACGCACCUGGAAGCAGCAGAAGAUGGCCCAAGUACUUGGGCCCCUACCACCCAAAGAAAAGACCCGGCUGGAGUUCAUGGCUCCUGGCUUCAGCACAGGCCAGCUUAGACUGUUGCAGCCAUUUGCUAUUUGGGUAGUGAAACAGCCUCUGACAACAGCUCUGAGAGGCACUGAUGGGACCCUGGACUGUGGAUGCAGCAGGACACGGGUUCUCUUCGGCCUCGGGGGACCUGCGUGGUGUGUUGGGGACCCGCCCAGACUCAGUGCCCAGACUCCUCAAGGCCUGCCUACCUGGAGGGGGGAGGAAGGCAAGGAGGUGGGGCAGGAUGGAUUGGACGAGCCUUAGCGGCUGCCUGGAGGCCCAGCUGUCUGGGCACACAGGAACGUGCAGGGUGCAUGCGGGGGCCCUGCUCCCUGUCAGUCACAGCUGCAAGGAGGCAGCAGGGGAAGGUGGUGGCUGCACAGGCAUCCAGGGGGAGGCUGACAGGAAGAGGGGUCGCUUGUAACAUAGCAGGCCACCGGCUGAGACCUGCUGAGGGAUGUGCAUUACUCAGAGGGUGGGUCCGGUUCUCAUUUUAGACCCAAAAUAAACUCUCCAGGCCCUGUUGUAGUUGGCUAAUGGCAAUCCCCAAACCACAGGCUCCAGAGAUAUGAGCCAGCAUUCCAGGAGACGCCACCCACAGGACACGGAGACCCGGGGAGGGAGCCCGGCCCUGGGUCCGGCGUGUUUGGGGCAGACUGCGGGAGACACAGCGUCACCGCGGCCUCAGCCUGGGUUCCGUGCGGAGACCUCCUGCAGAACCCGGUCGUGUCCACGGAUGCCCUCACGGGCCUCGGGCGGAGCUCGCCCUCCCCAAGUCAACACGAGAGGGCCCAGGGAGCUACGGGUCAUUGGAAGCUCUUCUUUCUGCCUUUUUCAAGCUCAGGAAGACCAGCACACCACUUAGGAGGCUGGUUUGGACAGUUCUCCAAAUCCCUGGUCAGAUUACUAUCUUUCAGCUAAAACACAGGGUUAGUGGAAUUUUCUUCCAAACUUCUUUUCAAACAAUUAUCUUGACAUAUUAUCUGUAACAUUUCCUUUAGAGAGUUCCUCCCCAUCAGGGGAGAAAAAGUUCGCCAGGGCCUGUGAAUGACUGGAUGGAGGAGAAAGAUGUGUGAGGAUGUGAGACUCGGAGCAGGAGCUAUGCGUAGGGACGCCACGGCAAUGAGAGACAGCGCUGGGGAAUAACCUAGGUCUGGGCGCCUUUGCCACCUGUGGAGUCUGCAGGGGAUCUUGACAAACCACCCGGCCAGCCCCCGGCCCUGAGUUAAUACUGUCCUUGAAUCUGCCUGCGGGCCUUGAACAACACACAGAGAAUUCAUGUUUGUAUGCAGUGGUGCACCCCUCCCCCCAUAGCUCGCUGCAAGUGGGAGGUGAGUUUCCCAUUUGCUGGGGGUGUGGAACUUAGAGACCCAGGGACAAGGGACUCAGGAAUGGGGAAAGGGGACCCCACACUGGCAAGCCGGGGCAGCAGUCUCUAAAGCGAGAGGGUUUCAUGAGGGCGACUGCCUUGGACAGGGAUGAUCCCAAUGCUGGCGGAGGUGCGGCGGAGGGAGGAGGCGGCGUGGAGCUAACGGUGCAGACCCGGGAGGCAGGGGCGGGGCUCUGCGUGGUGCCACGCGCUUUCCCAUCUGAGCAUCCGCAUCUGCCUCUUCCACCCACGGCCCGGGCUCCUGCAGUCACUCCGUUCCCCACCCGUCUCUGAGAACGGUCCUUCUCUGAUGCUACUUCAAAGCCCCCUGGGAACGCCAAGUUGCCAAUUAAGCCUCUUUGAGGCAGGUUCUCAUUCCUUCCCCACUAAUUGAAAUGUUACUCCUUUUACUAAACCCAUGAACCACCCAGACACAACGGUCUUCCUCAUUUGCAUUGUAACAAUGUCCCUAAUGUGCUGCCAAGAGCUUUCCGAGGAGGGGGACCUCUUCUCCUCCCCCGGCUGCACGGUCAAAAGCAAUUCCCAGCCCAAGGCCGGCUUUUCCAUCCCUGUCCAGCUGCUCAUUAGCUAAGGUGGAAUAAAUUCCUUUUAUUCUGGAUUCAUUUCCCAGGAUGAUAAUGUCUUUUUUGUCUCAGGCCACUGUUCUCAAACUAGGCCUUAAUUGCUGAUACCGAUUGAGUUAAUGCAUAUUUACAGCGGGGGUUAGGUUAAAGAAGGUCUCCUGUACUUUCAUCUGAGACAUUUUGUUUAACCUGCAAUAAAAUCGUGCGGGAGUUAUUCAGUGUUGAUUCUCAUUGCGUUUUAUCUUGUCUCUGCCCCUUGGGAAAGUCCGCAGAGGCAGAUGGUCUUGGCAUGGGCACAGUUCCCGGGCUGCAGGGCCCACGGAGCCCAGCCUCAGCCGGUCACCUCCAAGCUCUCCUGUAUUCAGACGGGAGGGCCUCUCCUGGUGAGAGCAGAUAGCCCCCGGGCAACGGGCAACAGGCAACGCGCGCGGUGCCGCUCUCCCAGGCGCCCCGCCAAGCUCGCAGGCGGGAUGAUGAAAUCCCAUCAAAGCCGCAGGGCUGGGCCAGGCUCCCGAAUCAGCUCCCACCAGUAGCUCCAGCCCAAAGUGGCCCGCAGACCGGGCACAGAGCCCAGGUGUCAGGCCAUGUGACAGGCCUGGCCACUGGUGCCUGCUCAGAGACAGUGGCCGAAACCAGGGCAGGAGGAAGGGCCUGGGGCUGAGCACAAUGCCAGGGAAAGUCAGGGGGUUUCCAAGAUUUCCCUGGGGAGGCCUGUCGGCUGGCUCCUGGAUUCGGUCUUCUCAAACCCUCUUGCUCGCUCUACUUCUGCAAACAGCAGGGGAAGCAUAGAAGCCCUCUUCCCUGUGAAGUUUGAGGCUUCUUUAUCACUCGGAGGUGAAACUGACUUACCUAAAAGGAGAUUGGCUGGAGUCACCCUGUGGGGCUCCUUGCCCCUGGGUGCUGCUCCUGGGUGCUGGGAGCUCUCACCCUCUCUCUCGCCUGUCCCUUUGGCUACUUCUUUCUGAGCUGUCCCGGGGGAGUUGGCCCUGAAAAGGAGACCAGACUGACAGUCCCCAAGAAUCCAUGUUUUAAGCCUCUGUUCUCCAUAGAGGAGGCCGUGAGCCAGUUUUCCAGCCGAUGGAGUUUGGGGACAAGUGACACAGGCCACCUCCGCCCUUCGCUCUGCUGGUGUCCUCGAGAGAGUGACCCUCUGGGCAACCUUGGUGCCCGUUGUGUCAGUGUGGAAUGCAUGGCAAUGGGCUUGUAAGUCUCGUGCACUUGGGGACCAGGUCUUGUAGCAGGGAACCUUGUUCACAGUCAGAUGCAUGCACGAUGCCAAGAAUCCGAGCUGCUGCCUUCACCUCGAUUCCUCAUCCACCGAGGCCUGUCUCAUCCAUCCCAGAAGAGCCCCAGCUCAGAUUCUAGCCUCCCUGUGCAGCCUUCCUGGGGGCAGAGGAAACGCACAUCUGGCUUCACCCAGUUGUUUUUCUUGGUUGCUUACCAAAGCCACCUUUGCCUACCUCCAGACAGAUUGAGCCAAGUGGAGACCUGGAACCUGGCCAAGUCAGUGAGACCCAGAAACCCAGCUGUCCGGCCCAAAGGCUCAAAAGCAAAGGUAGCUCCCCAGAGACAGGUUCCCUAGCUUCUUGUUUCUGAAAUCAGGCACAGGAGCGCUGGAUAAGGAGGAUAAACAUGAAGGUGCUUUCUGGAGCCAGUCUGCGUGUUGGAGGUGAUGGGCGCUUAGAGAGCACCUGCUCCAGCCCCCUCUUCCAGAGCAGAGCCUGCAGCCCAGAGCCUGCAGCACGCAGCACUCGGGCUUAGGGCCUCUCAGCCAGAGUGCCUCAAUUGCAUUCCUUAAGCCUGAAGACAGCAACAAGGCAGAGGACCUGCGCUGUUGUCAAGUAUCCCUUCGCAGCUCGUGGGAUAUGCUGAGAACGCGUCAUCCUUUAUAAUCCACCGUGACAGGCUCAGGCUCCGUGCACUGUUCAGCAUUCUCAGCUGGACCUAUGGCCUUGCUUCUCCAUGUGCGUUUCAGGUCAGACUGAGCAUGUUGGGAACCCCAGCAUCUCCUAGGUGGGCUGUGUUCCAUACCCAUCUGGACACAAGACUCUUGGGCCCGCGGUCUCCCGCAAGGAAUCCUGGCAGGCAGCACGGGCAGCGUCCCCAAACCACUCUGUCUCUUGGCAGGGUCCUUCCCUUUGUGGGGUGAGAAGAGCCCUGUGGGGAGGAAGUCCAUCUCCUUUUACAGAGAAGGGAGCUAAGGAUCAGGGAGGUUUGGGGGUUUGCCCAAGUCCUCACAAGAUGUGAUGCCUUUCUUCUCAAUCGCACUCCCUCGAGCUUCUCACUGAGGACUCGGCCAUCAUUAGAAUGAGAGAUUUCUCCAGGGCACAGUUCGGGGGUGCAUUUUUUGAUUUAAAACUCAAUCAGCUGCACUGUCUUGUAUGGUCUUCUGAGCGCAGGCUGCUUUCCCCGUGUCAACUGCGUGGAGCUGGAGGCAUGCUCGUCAAACUGUGAAUUCGACCCCCUGUGGGCUGGUCUUGGCUUUGACCGUGCACCUGCUCCCGGCAGUAGUGCUCCGGACUGCUGGAGCUGGCCCAAAGCCCACGUCUUCUGCCCCUCCGGCCCUCCUUUCAGGAAGCUGCAGGCGAGUCAGUGUCCUGGAUAUUGGCUCGGAUGGGUCUUCAACACCAUUAUCCUCCCCUGCUCAUUCCACUACUCGGGACCCCAAGCCCACAGCAAGCCCGUGGGAGGGCCUGGGUGUUUUGACUGCGGCAGGAAGUAUUUUAUAGGAGAACGCGGAUAUAGGAUACAGCUACAGCUCCAUUUGUGUCCCCACAAAGGCAAAGGGGAGCAAACAUCUUUGAGCACCAUAGCCUGGAGCAAGAAGGAGGCAGGUGCCUGCGUCCACUGAUCUCCUCUGGGGGCUAUAUUACAUUGCAGCCUGUCCAUACUCCAUUGGUGAAAUUGUCACCUUUUGGGAGGCGGAAGUCUGUUUUCCCCUGGGAUGGCUCUCUGGCCUUCUGAUGUAUCUCUGAUGCGGUGUCAGCAGGUCUCCUUCAGCUGAGUGAGUGUGUAUGUGGCAGUGGUAAGGGGGUGCACAUGUUGGGUGACAGUAGCCCAGACACUGGAGAUGGAGGAGAGAAGGGGGUUUGACAAGGUUGGAACUGGAAGCACCCACCUAUCACCAUUCUUUGGUAUUUAUUGCAUGUGUAGUAUGUAUACACACGUACUUUAUAAUUCACUAGGUUCUUUUCCUUUAGAUAGCUUUUUUGAAUCUUAAAAAAAAAUCUUUGGAAAGCAGAGAGCUGGAGAGAGAGAGCUAGUGUACUGGUAUUCUUGACAAUGUGCUUCUCAUUUUCACAGAUGAGAAAACUCGCAUCCCCAAAGACACCAGGAAAUAAGCCACUGCACCUUGAUUGUCCUGGUGAGGAUAUCCAUGCUCAGAGCAGGGACUUGUCUACGACUUCACAUUGUUAAGGGGCAGAAGCAAGACUUGAACUUGGCUCCAUUUGAGUCAAAGCCAAGUUUCUUCCCGCAACAUCCACACUGAUCCCUAAGCACAUAGAACUGUGAGCAGAACAGAGUGACUGCCCGGUGAAUAGCUUGAGAAAAAUGAGUCCGUAAAUCAAAGAGAGGCAUGAAGUCCAUAGCCUCUAAUCACAAAACUGUGACUCUAAGUCCAACCUGUGCAAAUGAAGUGGCAGGUACAGGAGAACCAAGGUACAACCCUCCCUCCCCCCAAGAGAGCAGCCAUCAGCUGGGAUUGGUGCUGGACCUGUGUCCCCACAGGGAGUGAACACAUAAUAAGGGCUGCGCUGGGUGUAAGUGACAGGGACGAAGCAGUUGAGGUGGCGACAGCACCUGGGCCACCCUGUUGCUUGUUCUGCUAGUUUGGUAAAAUGGUUUGCUGGGGGCCAUGGAUCCUCUUACAUUAUGUAUUAGAAUCUCCUGUGAUCUGGAAAUAAAACCAAAUCAAGUGUAGAAGACAAAGAUGCCACAGUAAUUGUGGCAGGGCCAUCUCCCCUGGGAGUGCAAAGCUGGGUCCAGGGUAACCACCUUCCCUCCCAAUGGCCUCAGGAAAGACACUGAGGCCCACGGGAGUGGGAGGCUGUCCCCUCAACGUUACCUCCAAAAUGAACAAGGGAUAAACUCUCUCCUGAGACAGUUGGUCUCAUUUUGCGGCCGUGAAUUCAAUGCUCAAGCUCCAUUCUCCUCAUCCCGGCUCCAGCUUAAGUUUUAAAAACUAAUUCUUUCUGCAUUAAUCUGAAAAGAUCCUCCCAACAAAAGCUCAACAUCUGAGCCUAUUUACCGAGUGUGCAGCUGUGUCAAUUGGCCAAGACAAAGCGAGGCUUCCUGGUCGGCCCACAAUGGGCGGCAGGUAGUCUUACAGACAGGGCAGGGGAGGAGGGGCUGGAGCUCAGGGGUCAAGAGAAGAGGCGUGCGCCCCACCCCCACCUCCCCAACUCACAAGUGGGACUGAAAGAUAUGAUCUGUAAGCCCAUCAAUUAGGGCUAUUAAAAAGGUAAUUAGCCCUCUCCCAUGGAAACCAAGGACAGAGAUGUGAAAGGGGGGAAAUUCAUUUCCUUGUGGCUACAUUUUAAUGUGACGGGUACCCUUUAGGAAAAAGCGAGGUGCUACUUAUGAGAAUGUCACUCGGCUGGUCUUAAUGGGAAGGUGGUGUCAAGUCAGCUACAGAACUGCCUUCUAAUAAAAAUAGUAACUAUUCUUUCAUUGUUGAAAAAAAAAAUUUUUUUUUCCUGCCACCAAACGUGAGAUUCAAAUCCCCUGGCCAGGCUGGGGAGGCCGGGAAGGCUGGAGAGUCAUUUCCUUUCCAGCUUCCUUUCCCGAAGAGCAUCGUGGCCGGAAAUGAAAUCUGCAAAUGUCAACAAUGAACCAUUUGUCUUGGGUCCUGGUAAGUGUGAAGCUCAGAAUCAGUGUUUCUCUUCCCUCUCUUUUCAAACAUCUGUGAGUAUUUUGGUAAUAAAGCCCAAGAGAGAACAACACGAAUAGAGGAGAGAUCCUAUUUGUAAUGAGAUUUGAAGAUAUCCAUUAACACAGAUCUACAGUGGGUGACACUGUGCAACCUGGCCCAGUGUCACGCGUGGAUAUAAUGUCUCAGGGCCUGCUUGCAUGGGUGUGGGUGUCUGCCUGAAAGUAAAGGACUGAACUUUGAAAAUAAUUUUUAAAAAUUAUUUUCAUUUUAUUUGUGAGCGAGAGAGCUUCCGUCUACUGGUUCACUUCACAAAUGCUACAACAGCUAGGGCUGGGCCAGGCUGAAGCCAGGAACCAGGAACUCCAUCUGGGUCUCCCACAUGGCGACAGGGACCCACCUACUUUAGCUUUCAUCUGCUGCCUCCCAAGGUGCAGUCACAGAAAGCCAGAAUUGGCGGAAGCAGAGGAGCCGGGACUCCAACCCGUACUCCGGGCACUCCAAGCAGGGACUUAACCAAUAUUUUAUAUUUGAGACACAGAGCUACAGAGAGAAAGUCUUCCAUCUGCUGAUUCACUCCCCAAAUGGCCAGAACUGACUUGAUCCAAAGCCAGGAGCCAGGGGUUUCUUCCAGGUCUCCCGUAUGGAUGCAGGGGCCCAAACACUUGGGCCAUCUUUCUGCUUUCUCAGGCUGUAGCAGAGAGCUGGAUCGGAAAUUUAGCAGCUGAGAUGUGAACCAGUGUCCAUAUGGGAUGCCAACAUUGCAUAUGGACGCUUAACUCACUGCUCCACAAUGCCAGCCCCUAGACAUUCUUGUGUAAGACUUUUUGUGGGCUUGUUUUUGUUUCUCUUAGGUAAUUGCUGAGGAGUGGAAUUGCUGACUCACACAUAGGUUAGGUGUGUAGAUAACUUUUUAAGAAACUGAUAAACAAUUUUCUACUGUAGCAUUAACACCUUGCUGACGCUUCCAACAGCAAUGCGUUGAGAAUGUUGCCAGUUGUACCUCCUUACAACCAUUUGAUGUCAGUCAUUUUAGCUGUAGCUCUUGUACUGGAAAUGAAGCAAUAAUCUUAGUGUGGUUUCAAUUUGUGAUUUUGGAUGAUUAACAAAGUUGAACACUUUUUCACAUACUUGUUAUCCAUUUUAUAUUUUCUUUCAUGAAGUUAUAGGCUUUUAUCCAUUUUUAAUUGGCUUAUCUUAUUAAUUUGUAGGUAUUUUUAUACAGCUUGGCUAAAAGUCUCUUCUAAUAUAUGCAUUGCAAAUAUUUUCUUUUGGUCUGUGGCUUUCACUCUCGUUUUCUUACUGGCAUUUUUGGAUGACAAAAGUUUAUUAUUUUAACAAAGUCAGAUUUUCAAAGUUUUUACUUCAUGGUUAGUGCUUUUUGUGUCCCACAGAAUUUGAAAUCUGCCUCUCCCAAGGUUGUGCAGACAUUUUCCUAUGCUUUCCCAUAGCAGCUCUGUCAUUUUAGCUUUGCUGAUUAAAUCUAUCAUUCAUCUCAAGUUCAUGUUUCAUAUAUGGUGUGAGGAAAGGAUUGAAGUUUAUUAUUUUUUUCCCAAACAUUUUGUCUAGUACUUCCAGCUCAUUUGAUGAAGACUUUUGAAUUGCUCUGAUCUGUAGCCUUUGUCAUGGAGCCGUUGACUGCACAUGUAUGUCUUUAUUUUUGAAUUCUGUAUUCCAUUUUGUGUCUAUCUUUAUGUCCAGAACUCAUUGCUGUGCUUGUUGUAUGUUUUUUUUUUAUGUAUUGAAAUCAGAU